UUCCCUGUUUUAUAGCCAAGCGCCAACGCUCAGGGACUCCAGCCCAAGCUCGACUCGUGGAGCUCAGAGCAGAGGCGCCAUCCGCCAAGAAACACCUGCGGCUGCGGCUGCGGCUGCGGCGGCGCGCGCCAGGACCCUAGGGAGCAGCAGCAAGCUCGGCCCCAUGGGGAGGUCUCCGUGCUGCGAGAAGGCGCACACGAACAAGGGCGCGUGGACCAAGGAGGAGGACCAGCGCCUGAUCGCCUACAUCAAGGCGCACGGCGAGGGGUGCUGGCGCUCGCUGCCCAAGGCCGCGGGCCUCCUCCGCUGCGGCAAGAGCUGCAGGCUGCGCUGGAUGAACUACCUCCGCCCGGACCUCAAGCGCGGCAACUUCACCGACGACGACGACGAGCUCAUCAUCAAGCUCCACGCCCUGCUCGGCAACAAGUGGUCGCUGAUCGCGGGGCAGCUGCCCGGCCGGACGGACAACGAGAUCAAGAACUACUGGAACACGCACAUCAAGCGCAAGCUCCUCAGCCGCGGCAUCGACCCGCAGACGCACCGCCCGCUCAGCGGCGGGAGCGCCGCCGCGGCCAGCGGGCUCACCACGUCCAGCACCGCCGGCUUCCCGUCCCCCUCGCCGGCGCCCAGGCCCGCGCGCCCGGUCAUCACCAUCCCGCCCAAUGUGAUGUUCGCGAGGGCCGCGCCGUCCGAGGACGGCCACAGCAGCAGCGGCGGGAGCACGGACGCGCCGCGCUGCCCCGACCUGAACCUCGACCUCGACCUGUCCGUCGGCCCGCCGAGCUCGCCCCCCAAGACGCCGGCCGCCGCCGCGCCGCCGCCGCGGCCGAGGUGGUCGUGACCGAGGCGGCGCCGGCGGAGGAGGAGAAGAAGCCGGAGGUGCCUCCGGUGGCGGAAGCGGAGCCCGCCGCCGAGGCGGAGAAGAAGACCGAUGAGGCGGCGGUCACCGCCGACGAUGCGGGGGCCGGCUCGUUCAAGGAGGAGAGCAACCUUGUGGAAGACCUGCCCGACCCGGAGAAGAAGGCGCUCGACGAGUUCAAGCAGCUGAUCGCCGCCGCCCUCGCCGCCGGUGAGUUCAACCUGCCACCCCCGCCGCCGCCGCCAAAGACCAAGGAGGAGCCCAAGGCCGAGGAGACGAAGACGGAGGAGCCCAAGGCUAAGGAGCCGGCCAAGGAAGAGCCCAAGACCGAGGAGCCAGCCAAGGCCGAGGAGGCGGUGGAGGAGCCCAAGACCGAGGUGGCCGCGGAAGUCCCGGCGGAGGAGGCCAAGACCGAGGCGCCGGCCGAGGAGACCAAGGCCGAGGCUGUUGCCGAGGAGGCCAAGCCGGACCCAGAGGAGAAGACCGUCGUGGUCGCCGAGGAGGAGAGUGCCACCAAGACUGUGGAGGCAAUCCAGGAAACAGUCGUGCCCGCCGCCGCCACCUCGGAGGAGGCCGCGACGCCGGAGGCGGAGGCGGAGACGCAGGCGGCCGCGCCUGAGCCCGUGCUGAUCUGGGGUGUGCCGCUGGUGGGCGACGACGAGCGCACGGACACGGUGCUCCUCAAGUUCCUGCGCGCGCGGGAGUUCAAGGUGAAGGAGGCCAUGGCGAUGCUCAAGUCCGCGGUGCUGUGGCGCAAGCGCUUCGGCAUCACCUCGCUCCUCGACGCUGACCUCGGCCUGCCGGAGCUGGAGAACGUGGUGUUCUACCGCGGCGUCGACCGCGAGGGCCACCCCGUGUGCUACAACGUCUACGGUGAGUUCCAGGACAAGGACCUCUACGAGAAAGCCUUCGGCGACGAGGAGAAGCGGGAGCGCUUCCUUAAGUGGCGCAUCCAGCUCCUGGAGUGCGGCAUCCUGUCGAAGCUGGAUUUCGCGCCCAGCGGCAUCUGCUCCAUGGUGCAGGUCACCGACCUCAAGAACUCGCCCCCCAUGCUCGGCAAGCACCGCGCCGUCACCCGCCAGGCUGUCGCGCUGCUCCAGGACAACUACCCCGAAUUCAUUGCCAAGAAGGUGUUCAUCAAUGUGCCAUGGUGGUAUCUCGCUGCCAACAAGAUGAUGAGCCCGUUCCUCACACAGCGCACCAAGAGCAAGUUUGUUUUUGCUAGCCCGGCCAAGUCAGCAGAGACUCUCUUCAGAUACAUCGCACCUGAGCAAGUUCCAGUCCAAUUUGGAGGUCUCUUGAAGGAGGAUGAUCCUGAAUUCACCACCUCCGACGCGGUCACCGAGCUCACUAUCAAACCCUCAUCUAAAGAAACCGUUGAGAUCCCUGUCACCGAGAACUCCACAAUUGUAUGGGAACUCCGGGUGCUUGGUUGGGAGGUGAGCUAUGGGGCAGAGUUCACCCCCGAUGCCGAGGGUGGAUACACUGUCAUUGUUCAGAAAACCAGGAAGGUGCCUGCCAAUGAGGAACCGAUCAUGAAGGGAAGCUUCAAGGUUGGCGAGCCCGGCAAGCUUGUGCUAACUAUCAACAACCCUGCAUCCAAGAAGAAGAAGCUCCUUUACAGAUCGAAGGUGAAGAGCACCAGUGAAUGUGGGCGAGGCCUCCUGGGUCCUACAGUUACAUGACCAACAGUUCACCUGAGCAUGAUAGAAGAGAGAAGAAACCUUUUGGUUUGGUUCGUUAAUUUAUUGGGUUUGCUGGUUUUUGGUUCACAUUCUAUAUUUUGUUUGGUUAUCGACCAAAGUGAGCUUGUUUUUGUGAUAGUAGCUGGGAAGAAGUAUUAUGACAUUGUGAUGGAUGGUUGUUGAGGAGGGCUGGGGAGCUAAAACUGUGAAGGACUGGGGAAUGUCUGCUCCUUUGUGGAUGUGUCUGUACAUUGCAUCUCUGGAUUCUCAUUGAUAUCAUGAUAUGUUAAGUUUAGGAGUACUUGUCUCAUCAUAAUUCAAUCCAUGUUACUCUGCA